CAUCGUACAACACCUCGUCUUCUCUGUGCUUCUUUUUUUCCUUUCACGCGUCUCUUCUGUUUCUUGUUACUGCUGAAGGCCCGCCUCCAAUUUUUGAGCCAUAUGUCUCUUUAGCUCCCGUCCCAUAUGUGAACAUCUUCUCCACAAAUUUAAUGGAGGUAAUGUUUUGUUUUUCGGCUUCUCUCCAAGUUCAGUAUAGCUUGGGGAAUCUGUUCUCUUCUUCGGCUGGGUUUCAAGUGCUGUCUCUUCUCUUCCGGUAAACUUCUUGAAAGUCAUCUAACUCUGAGCACAGAGAGGUACAUCUACGGAGUCAAAUAUUGACAAUAGUGCUUAAACCUCAUCCAAAGCAUUUAUCACUAAAUUUAGAAAUAACUCUUCCAAAAGCCUACCAUAAUUUAAAACGAUCAAACAUCUUCACGAAAAACUUCUCUUUUGUUUAUAGCUACAAAAUGAACAUUAUAUAGCUCAAACCAACAGUGACUUUUCUAUCAAAAUAUUUGAUUGUUCUUUUAAAUUAUACUGUGCUUUCGGGAGACUUCUUUCUAAUUUAGUGAAGAUUACUUCGGAAGAAGCCCAAGCUCUUUAUGUCAACACAAUUUCACAUUAAGGUAUUCUUAACUAACAUUUAUUAUAUUACAUUAUUUUUCCAUGGUACAAUUUGCUGCUUUUGUGUUCUAUUUUAGAAUGGACUUCAAAAGGACAGUUUAAUCGACCGUAAUUACUAGUCAAUACCAGGUUGCCCCACGAAAUCCAUUAGUUUUUUUUUUUCUUUUUUUACCUGAUCAUUUCUUUUUGUUAGAGUUGAUUUACAAACCUAUCAUGUUCAUUUGUGUUCAUAUGUUUGCUGGAGUUGAGGUUUCCUCUGUGAGAAAGUUCAAUAGAUAAAAAUAACAGUUAGUGCACAACUUGCGUCAAAGCAAAUGUAUUUUCUUUGAUUGAUUCUCUUACUAAUAUUAUGCAGGUAUGUGAAGUGAGAUGUAAUCUUAAUCACAUUGGGUAUCGCAUUAAUUUAAUCCAUGAGAUGAUAUCCAACUUGAUAAGUUAUCAUAGCAUGAUUGUUUAGAUGUGUUGUAAUUUUGUUUUAGCUGCAUUUUUAUCUCACAAUAAUUCCUCCUAGACAUCUUUAUGAAUGUAGGAAGCUUUUUAUGAUUACAAUGGACAAUCUAUUGGAUGCAAAUGCUUGAGACUA